GCCGGUGUGGCUCAACGGUAGAGCAACUGAUUUGUAAUCAGUGGGUUGCGGGUUCGAUUCCUGUCACCGGCUCCA
rnacentral:tRNA from 16 species